rnacentral:rRNA from 1 species
UGGGGAAUAUUGGACAAUGGGCGCAAGCCUGAUCCAGCAAUGCCGCGUGUGUGAAGAAGGCCUUCGGGUUGUAAAGCACUUUUAUCAGGAGCGAAACGCUGUCGGCUAAUACCCGGCGGAACUGACGGUACCUGAGGAAUAAGCACCGGCUAACUUCGUGCCAGCAGCCGCGGUAAUACGAAGGGUGCAAGCGUUAAUCGGAAUUACUGGGCGUAAAGCGUGCGUAGGCGGUUUCUUAAGUCCGCUGUGAAAUCCCCGGGCUCAACCUGGGAAUGGCAGUGGAUACUGGGAGGCUAGAGUGUGUCAGAGGGUGGUGGAAUUCCCGGUGUAGCGGUGAAAUGCGUAGAGAUCGGGAGGAACAUCAGUGGCGAAGGCGGCCACCUGGGACAACACUGACGCUGAGGCACGAAAGCGUGGGGAGCAAACAGGAUUAGAUACCCUGGUAGUCCACGCCCUAAAGCGAUGCGAACUGGAUGUUGGUCUCAACUCGGAGAUCAGUGUCGAAGCUAACGCGUUAAGUUCGCCGCCUGGGGAGUACGGUCGCAAGACU